rnacentral:tRNA from 1 species
UUAACUAAAGCCAAAAUUUAGAGGCAAUUUAUUGUUAAUAAAAAAAUUGAAUAUCAAUUCUAGUUAAU